GGCUAACGCUGGCGGCGUGUCUUAGCCAUGCAAGUCGAGCGGACUUAUGGGGUAACUUAUAAGUCAGCGGCGGACGGCGGAGUAACACGUAGCUAACCUACCCUCUGGACGGGGAUAACCUACCGAAGGGUGGGCUAAUACCCGAUGUAGUCAUCCUGUAUAGGGGUGAUGAAAGGUGGGCUUCUGUUUACAAGCUCAUGCUGGAGGAGGGGGCUGCGGCCUAUCAGGUAGUUGGUAGGGUAAUAGCCUACCAAGCCGAUGACGGGUAGCCGGCCUGAGAGGGUGACCGGCCCGAGGGGCACUGAGAUACGGGUCCCACUCCUACGGGAGGCAGCAGGCUAGAAAUUUGGGCAAUGGGGGAAACCCUGACCCAGUGACGCCGCGUGCAGGAAGGAGCCCUUCGGGGUGUAAACUGCUGUCGUGUAGGGAGAAGGGUACUAAGGUGAACAAUCUUAGUACUUGACGGUACUACAGGAGGAAGCCCAGGCUAACCUCGUG
rnacentral:rRNA from 1 species